GCAAGUCGAGCGGACAGAUGGGAGCUUGCUCCCUGAUGUUAGCGGCGGACGGGUGAGUAACACGUGGGUAACCUGCCUGUAAGACUGGGAUAACUCCGGGAAACCGGGGCUAAUACCGGAUGGUUGUUUGAACCGCAUGGUUCAAACAUAAAAGGUGGCUUCGGCUACCACUUACAGAUGGACCCGCGGCGCAUUAGCUAGUUGGUGAGGUAACGGCUCACCAAGGCAACGAUGCGUAGCCGACCUGAGAGGGUGAUCGGCCACACUGGGACUGAGACACGGCCCAGACUCCUACGGGAGGCAGCAGUAGGGAAUCUUCCGCAAUGGACGAAGUCCUGACGGAGCAACGCCGCGUGAGUGAUGAAGGUUUUCGGAUCGUAAAGCUCUGUUGUUAGGGAAGAACAAGUACCGUUCGAAUAGGGCGGUACCUUGACGGUACCUAACCAGAAAGCCACGGCUAACUACGUGCCAGCAGCCGCGGUAAUACGUAGGUGGCAAGCGUUGUCCGGAAUUAUUGGGCGUAAAGGGCUCGCAGGCGGUUUCUUAAGUCUGAUGUGAAAGCCCCCGGCUCAACCGGGGAGGGUCAUUGGAAACUGGGGAACUUGAGUGCAGAAGAGGAGAGUGGAAUUCCACGUGUAGCGGUGAAAUGCGUAGAGAUGUGGAGGAACACCUGUGGCGAAGGUGACUCUCUGGUCUGUA
rnacentral:rRNA from 1 species